rnacentral:rRNA from 1 species
AUUGAACGCUGGCGGCAGGCCUAACACAUGCAAGUCUAACGGUAACAGGAAACAGCUUGCUGUUUCGCUGACGAGUGGCGGACGGGUGAGUAAUGUCUGGGAAACUGCCUGAUGGAGGGGGAUAACUACUGGAAACGGUAGCUAAUACCGCAUAACGUCGCAAGACCAAAGAGGGGGACCCUCGGGCCUCUUGCCAUCGGAUGUGCCCAGAUGGGAUUAGCUUGUUGGUGGGGUAACGGCUCACCAAGGCGACGAUCCCUAGCUGGUCUGAGAGGAUGACCAGCCACACUGGAACUGAGACACGGUCCAGACUCCUACGGGAGGCAGCAGUGGGGAAUAUUGCACAAAGGGCGCAAGCCUGAUGCAGCCAUGCCGCGUGUAUGAAGAAGGCCUUCGGGUUGUAAAGUACUUUCAGCGGGGAGGAAGGGAGUAAAGUUAAUACCUUUGCUCAUUGACGUUACCCGCAGAAGAAGCACCGGCUAACUCCGUG